GAGAGAAGACCCUUCUCGAGGUCAGGGUUGGGCAGGGUUACUGAGCCUGCAUUCAGACCCUGCCAGAAGCAACAGAGGAGAAGGGCUGGAGUCUGCAGUCUCCCCUCCACCCUGCUGCCUGUUUGCGCUCUGGGCAGUGGGCUGGCCUCGGUGCCUGCACUCCCCACACCUCUAAUGGCUUCUGUAACAGGCAACACCCCUGCCUUGGCUCAGCAAGUCCAGUGGCCCUGGCCCUAGGAGGCUCAGAGAUAAACGGGGGAGGAAGUACGUUUCCAUCCACACGGAGCACACUCAGCAGCAGCCACGGUGACCGUAGAAGACGGGGAAAAUGGGCCAGUGUGUUUCCUCUCCCAGGUAAACACAUUAACAAGGACCUUACCUGGGACUUCCCACAGCGCAUCCUGAGAACAACUGGUCCCUAAGAUGCACCUAGAAAAGAGAAGUGGUUACAUGGACAGAGAGAAGUGCCAAAGACUGCAUCCUUAGCCCCUGAGACGGUAAAAAAAAACUUACUAGCCGCUGCCAACCUGUCCCAGGGUGUUUGUCCACACGCCUUACCUGCCCCUAGUAACCUCUCUGGGGUGUGGACCCAUCUGGGGAAAUACUGCCCUCACUAUAAGCAGCAACUGUGGGUGAGACUCUCCAGGACAGGCGGGUAGUCAAAUUCAGCAGUCGUGGGGAGUUUCGGGCUGCUUCUACCAACAUCUACCGGUAGCGACUUCCUUCUAACACACAGGCGUCCUUCCCCUGGUCAGGGGCCUUCCUGCAUCAGGAGCCCUGAAUGACCACCACCUCCUCCCCCUGACUCCUCCCCUUCUUGGGACUGGGAGAGAGGGAUUUCUAACACCUGCAGCGCAAGGCCUGACCCCUCCCACUGUCAUCUGUGAAGUGAAGCCACCUGGAUGCUCUCAAAUCUGCCUUCUAAGUUCUACCUGAUCCUGGAUGGAAACAAGCAAGGCCACGAGGGCUCUCUCUUCCUUUUCUUAGCCGAUUGAUUCUGUCUUUGUUACCUUCAAUAAAGGUGGUGGUUUACACCCCAGAGCCUUCAGAGAAGGGGAGUUGCCCAACGAAGUGCCUUUCAUUCUUCUGGGGUCCCCUCGCUUAGAGAUUGCUAGUGACUUCGGUGCAGAUUUCUAGGACUCCAGCACCCCGCAAAGGAAAUCCUGGAGGCCAGCAGCACAAGCAAAUGGGGAAACUGAGGCUGGAGCAGCUGCACCAGGCCUUCGUCCACCCAGCCCAGCCCUGGUCCUGGCAAGGACGGCGGUAUUAGAACUGGCGAUCCAAACAAACGAAACAUUUUGUCAUGUCUUGCACUGUAACAGAACUCAGAGCUGAUGAUUAGGAUCCCAGAGGGAUAACAUGCAAAGCUUUUAUCUGUGACGCGAGCUCUAGUUGAGUGAGAAGACAACCACAUUUUAAGAAAGUACUUUUUAAAAAGAAGCUCAGCUCCAUUGCUCCCACCUUCCUGCUGUUUAAAGCAGGGAGAAGUACAUUAUGCUGAGUGAAAGAAGCCAGUCACAGACAGACAGAUACUGUAUGAUCCCGCUUAUAUGAAUAGUCACAUUCAAUAGAGCCAGAAAGAGUGCUGGUCGACGGGGGCUUUGGGGGCUGGAGUUGGAGAGCUGUUGUUUAAUAGGCAUUGACUCAGUUUUGCACAUGGUUGUGAUGCUGGGACAACAAUGUGAAGUACUUAAUACUACUGAAUGUUGUGCUUAAAAACAGUUAAAACGGUGAAUUUUAUGUGUAUUUUACCACGAAUAAAAAUAAGUCAUUUUUUAAAGCAA